CACGUAGGGCGCAAGCGUUGUCCGGAAUUAUUGGGCGUAAAGAGCUCGUAGGCGGUCUGUUGCGUCUGCUGUGAAAACUCGGGGCUUAACCCCGACGCUGCUUCUGAUACGGGCAGACUAGAGGUAUGCAGGGGAGAACGGAAUUCCUGGUGUAGCGGUGAAAUGCGCAGAUAUCAGGAGGAACACCGGUGGCGAAGGCGGUUCUCUGGGCAUUACCUGACGCUGAGGAGCGAAAGUGUGGGGAGCGAACAGG
rnacentral:rRNA from 1 species